AUUGAACGCUGGCGGCAGGCCUAACACAUGCAAGUCGAGCGGAUGAAGGGAGCUUGCUCCUGGAUUCAGCGGCGGACGGGUGUGUAAUGCCUAGGAAUCUGCCUGGUAGUGGGGGAUAACGUCCGGAACCGGGCGCUAAUACCGCAUAAGUCCUGAGGGAGAAAGUGGGGGCUAUUCGGAACUCAUGCUCUCACAUGAUCCUAGGUCGGAUUAGCUGGUUGGUGGGGUAAAGGCCUACCAAGGCGACGAUCCGUAACUGGUCUGAGAGGAUGAUCAGUCACACUGGAACUGAGACACGGUCCAGACUCCUACGGGAGGCAGCAGUGGGGAAUAUUGGACAAUGGGCGAAAGCCUGAUCCAGCCAUGCCGCGUGUGUGAAGAAGGUCUUCGGAUUGUAAAGCACUUUAAGUUGGGAGGAAGGGCAGUAAGUUAAUACCUUGCUGUUUUGACGUUACCAACAGAAUAAGCACCGGCUAACUUCGUG
rnacentral:rRNA from 1 species